rnacentral:rRNA from 1 species
UACAGAGGGUGCGAGCGUUAAUCGGAAUUACUGGGCGUAAAGCGCGCGUAGGCGGCUUUGCAAGUCGGGUGUGAAAUCCCCAGGCUUAACCUGGGAACUGCAUUCGAGACUGCAUUGCUAGAGUAUGGGGAGAGGGAAGUGGAAUUUCAGGUGUAGCGGUGAAAUGCGUAGAUAUCUGAAGGAACAUCAGUGGCGAAAGCGACUUCCUGGACCAAUACUGACGCUCAUGGUGCGAAAGCGUGGGGAGCAAACAGGAU